UACGUAGGGUCCGAGCGUUGUUCGGAAUUACUGGGCGUAAAGAGUGUGUAGGCGGUGCUCUAAGUUCGGUGUGAAAUCUCCUGGCUCAACUGGGAGGGUGCGCCGGAAACUGGAGUGCUUGAGCGUGGGAGAGGAAAGCGGAAUUCCUGGUGUAGCGGUGAAAUGCGUAGAUAUCAGGAGGAACACCUGUGGUGUAGACGGCUUUCUGGACCAUAGCUGACGCUGAGACACGAAAGCGUGGGUAGCAAACAGG
rnacentral:rRNA from 1 species